rnacentral:lncRNA from 1 species
AUGCUGGACCUCUCCCUGCCCUGGUUAGAGCCUGGGUUUUCUGACUGUGACAGGUCUGUUAUUUCCAGGUUAACCAAUGGCGAGCCAGCUAGGAGGCCCAAGCGAUGGCUGCCUGAACCUGCAGCCAGCUGGACCUGCGGCGCACACAAGAGCCCUCUGAGUUCAGUCAUGAGACAGCUGGGCAGUUCCUUUAGGUCUCUGGAGAAACCGAUCUACUGUCAUCCUUUCCCCUUGAAGCUUUCCAGUUGCUGUUCUGUGUCCUGCACGUCGGUCCUGGAGGGUCUGUUUCUCCAGAGCAGGUUGAGGCUUGGAGGAGCUCCAGUUUGGGGCCUUGGACUGCUUCUGGUAAGACUGCUCUUGGAGCUUCUCUUUGAACUACCAUGUGGGUAA